GGGGCUCGUGGGGAGUGGGAGGAAGCUGGGGAGAAGAUGAGUUGAGAGCAGUCCAGUGUGAGGGAAAGUGGGGAUCCUGGGCCAACUUACCAUUAAGAGGGUCCAGUCCUGUGACUGCUGUGAAGUAACCAGGAUUCCACAUAGAGAUGGGGCUCAAAGUCAGCCCAGGAGCAGCACUGUGGUCCCAGCACCUCUGGGCCAGUCCAGCCAGGUGUAGAGUGAAGCUGAGCCCUUGAUUCAUCCUUGAUUCCAUUGUGAAGUCACACAGCAGCUUGGUGUGUUAAAGGCAAACCUCAUGGGUGUCUAGUAAGCCUUGAUUGUUU
rnacentral:lncRNA from 1 species